rnacentral:ncRNA from 1 species
GACGACCGGCCGGAACCACUGCGCUCCGGCCCACAAGUGGAGGCUCCGAUCUCCCACCUGACCGCCCCGAGGGGCGGCGGGUCACCGGUCAGGCGGCGCCCAUCGUUCCGUACGGACGAUGGAGUCGCCCGAAGACAGCGCCCCGCGGUUGGCCCGUGGCGGUGUUCCGGUAAUCCCAGGAGCCCCGCCUGUGUCCCGUCCGGGGCAUUUUUC